rnacentral:rRNA from 1 species
CCUACGGGUGGCUGCAGUAGGGAAUCUUCCACAAUGGGCGCAAGCCUGAUGGAGCAACACCGCGUGAGUGAAGAAGGGUUUCGGCUCGUAAAGCUCUGUUGUUGGAGAAGAACGUGAGUGAGAGUAACUGUUCACGCAGUGACGGUAUCCAACCAGCAAGUCACGGCUAACUACGUGCCAGAAGCCGCGGUAAUCCGUAGGUGGCAAGCGUUAUCCGGAGUUAUUGGGCGUAAAGCGAGCGCAGGCGGUUGCGUAGGUCUGAUGUGAAAGCCGGCGGCUUAACCGAAGAAGUGCAUGGGAAACCGGGCAACUUGAGUGCAGAAGAGGAGAGUGGAACUCCAUGUGUAGCGGUGGAAUGCGUAGAUAUAUGGAAGAACACCAGUGGCGAAGGCGGCUGUCUGGUCUGCAACGGACGCUGAGGCUCGAAAGCAUGGGGAGCAAACAGGAUGAGAUACCCCAGUAGUC